CGUCCGUUUCGCAUAAUCCUCGCAAUCCUAUAUGGUCCGAAGUAUUUUGGCUUUAACUUGAGUCUCGAUCCGUAUUGCGUUCGCUUGAUUGCUACUAGCUCGUCCAUGGCGUACUCUUUUGCAGUUCGUCGACGUUCGUUAAACGUUCUGCGGUUUUCUUGCUGUAUUUCGGCGAUUUUGUCGCGUGCUUGGUGGCAUACUUCUUCCCUCUCUGCAUCAAACUCGUCGAUGUGCUCCUUCUGCAGAAGCUCUUGCUCCAUAGGUGAUACUGAGAUUUCAUCUGGCUUGUAGGCUGCUGCCGAACUCUGUACCUUGUCCGUUCGCGUCCUGCUUACAUGAAAUACAUCUAUCUCGCAUUCUUUAUUUUGCUUCGUUCCGGCUUCCACGCAUACGUUUCCGGACCCUGCUUGCAGCCCGCUGAUUUGACUUGAAGGUCUUCCAUCGCGAAACCUCGCCCAUUCCGCACCUCGUUCGUACACACCUGUCUUGCUGGGAUUCGCAUGCUCUCGUGGUGAUCCUACGAUACCACCAUGCCUAACACUCGUACCGUGUUCACUGACACAAUCUCGCAUUUCAUCACGUCUACGCUGAACCUCAGUCGCAUCUGCCGGUCUAGCACUUAUUCUCAACUUCCUCACAAUAUUCGUUAUCAGAUUGUAAAUAUUGUUCAAAUCAUCGGUGAUCGAAUUAUCAGGAUUUGCA